CAGGUUACAAGAGAUAUUUCAGGGAGGGACUAAUGAUGACGUCACUGAGACCUGCCAUGGCCUAAUACCUAAACAGUUUUCCUUACACUGAUCAGAUUUGGAGUGCCCUUUCCAGAUGGGAGGGUAGCGUUAUUGUCCUCUGCAACGCUCCACCAAGCAGCCGACUGACACAGAAGCAGAGGCACAGGGCUUGAUAUCAGAUGGAGCUCAGUGAGUCUCACUGAAAAGCUGAGGGAAGGACUGAGAGAGGCAGAGUUGCACAAUGGUCUUCACGUGGGUUCACUAAACCCGUCACCUGUCUGUGGAUCCUGUUCUCCUACCCGGGCUGCGUUUUCAAGAGCUGGUUGAUGGAUCUUUCUCUUUUCCUAAGAAAAGGCCACUCUGGUUCUCAACUCACUCUUGAAGCCGUGACAGGAGACAUUCACAUCUCAUUCCUUAAGGACUAUACAAAAGGUUUGCUCAAAGUCAUCUGCAGAUACAUCUUUUUUAGGAAUGAAUCCUUCGCACUGGAGACCAGAGAAGAGACCUGCAGUUGCAUUAUUAAUAAACAUCAAAGCAAAAUAUAAAAGUCUGAAUGGAAUAAAUAUUUUAGGACAGUGUUUUGCAAGCAAAUUCUUUCAUAGACAGUCUUUGAAGAGCUCUGAAAUUUUGCAUUUCAUAUUUGACUUUUCUGGGACUCUGACUAGAAUCAACUCACAACUGUUUGGGAUUUUCUUGGCAAUUAACCAGUUUGUGAACAGAGCUAAAUUUAUCAUAUGCUCUUCCAUCUACAUUAAUAUUGCUACAGUGAGGAACAACUAUGGUAAAACUCUUCAUCUGAUUUUUCAAACAGCAUCC